GGGAGAGGCUAGCUAGGCAACGAAAACUGCUAAUUCUCGCCACCUUGGUUGGACUCCAAGGCUCACCCG
rnacentral:tRNA from 1 species